GACGAACGCUGGCGGCGUGCCUAAUACAUGCAAGUAGAACGCUGAAGAGAGGAGCUUGCUCUUCUUGGAUGAGUUGCGAACGGGUGAGUAACGCGUAGGUAACCUGCCUUGUAGCGGGGGAUAACUAUUGGAAACGAUAGCUAAUACCGCAUAACAAUGGAUGACACAUGUCAUUUAUUUGAAAGGGGCAAUUGCUCCACUACAAGAUGGACCUGCGUUGUAUUAGCUAGUAGGUGAGGUAAUGGCUCACCUAGGCGACGAUACAUAGCCGACCUGAGAGGGUGAUCGGCCACACUGGGACUGAGACACGGCCCAGACUCCUAAGGGAGGCAGCAGUAGGGAAUCUUCGGCAAUGGGGGCAACCCUGACCGAGCAACGCCGCGUGAGUGAAGAAGGUUUUCGGAUCGUAAAGCUCUGUUGUAAGUCAAGAACGGGUGUGAGAGUGGAAAGUUCACACUGUGACGGGAGCUUACCAGAAAGGGACGGCUAACUACG
rnacentral:rRNA from 1 species